ACCCAAGUGGAAAAAUCCCAUCGGGUGACGCUCAAUUUAAACAUGAAACAUUUUUGUGGCAAUGAAACUAACAAUAACAUGAAGUAAGAGAGAGUCUUGUCGUAACUCUAUUUUCAUUGUUUGUUGUGAGUAGUGACGCAUCAAACCGCCACCUCAUCCGUCUGCGGUCGGGAGUACGCUUCCGCUGAAGCAAGCAAUCCGCGCAUCCGGCUAAGACAAUAUAGGCCGAUCUUCCGAUCAAUCCAACUGAGACCUAUAUGUAUGUGAUACGCCAAGUGCGCCUCCUUUUUUAGUCCCCUCAAUCACCGAAAAUAUUUUCAGCGCCAUUAUAAUCUUCUCUUUAUUAUACCCAAAUUUACCUUACAGUGUGUGAUGGCCAACGGAAUAAUAAUUUGUCUUCUUGGCUUUUCCGUACUGAAAUGACGUUGCAACUUGCAAGUCAAAGAUGAGGUAAGAAACGGUAAAGUUUUGAGCACGCCCUUGUGGAUAUCAACCAGCAAAGGAGUUUUGCCGUGGUGUUAUGGACCGACUCGUCAAAGACAUUGCCACCCCUAGUACCGCUAAAGUUUUCGGGGAAUAUCGAUCUAAUAGUACGACGGUGAGCAAUCCUUGCCUCAACAGCCCAUGCACUCCCUUGUGUGUCCUUAUUCCGGGCGGAUAUCCUUUCACCUGCCCCGACAGCACGAUCCUGAUUCAAUCUGGUGAAGAACUGUCGUGGAACGUGACUGAGGAACGACCUCAACCGUCUCCUUUUGCGCUGCCCUUGCCAGAAUCUUGGGGUCUGCACCGGCGACGGCCAAGUCCAUUGCCAGUGCCCCAACGAUUAUUACGAAGGCGCCCAUUGCGAGACCCACUUGUUGCGCCGUAGUUAACAACAAUCACGAGUUGUACCAGUCGAUUAUGAAAUCGCUUGGUACAACAGCAAACUAUUGAGGGUUUAACUUUGGUCGUUUUCAUCAAAUGUUUUGCAACUGAUUUAUUUUCUUACGUGUUUUUAAAUUUUGUUUUUCUAAAUAAACGAGUAUAAUCCUUUUCUAUGUUUUAUUUGAUUUGAUUUUUUUAUUUUCGAUUUUUUUAAAUUGUUUCAACUAUAUCGAUAUCUUACCCAUAGCUGAUUGCAAAAUGGCGUCGUCUGCUCAGUUUUGAAACGUGGCUGGCGAUAGCUGCACGAAAAAUGUGUCUCAUUAUAGAUUCUCUUAAAAUAGUUAUUAUUUGAUACGUGCUCCAUGUUGUUUAUAGCAGGCAAAUAAAAUCAAGGAUGCAUAUAGAAUGAUUGUGGAAUCUUUGUGGAAACCCUUUUCUAAAUUCUGAGAAAUGCUAGUUCCCGACUAAAAUAGGCCUAGCAUUAAUCACGCCAGAGCCAGCCAUCACAACAAUGAGAUGCAAGAAUUUAAUGUGCUGGUGUUAACCUGGCGGCAGGAAUCUCAUUGUUCGGUGAAUAUAACAUGGAAAUAUUCAAGCUUCAAUUCACCUUUUGUUUACCAGUUACCACUGUACCACUCUCGUUAACAGCAUCCUCUUGUAUUGGAGAAACUACCAAUGUUGCUUGAGUUGCUGAUAUCUUCUCCCAUUUUCAUAAAAUGUUCUCGUGUGCCCCUGUAGUGGGUGUACACAACACAUGAGGACCCCCUUUUUCCUCUAUCCCGCCUGGUGUCUGGUCAAUUUUUCAGCAGAUGGAUGCCUGGCUGUAUAUCCCAAGUCUAAAGGGAGCAACGACAUUUUUGGUGACUGCCAGUCUGCCGAAAAUCGUCAAUCUGAUGCCAUUGCGGGUGAAGAUGAAGAAGGCGCAACAGCCGAAAAUUUGCCCGAUCCUGUUAUGUAAACGCCAGUUCAAAAGCUGCGACUGAAAUCUCGCGUGACCAACAGUUUUUACCCGUCGAGCCACCUAUCCGUCAAUUAUUUGAUUGACCGCCCAACAUCCACUGCCCAUCCACAUCACCUCACCACUUCCGCCACUGGACGCCAAGCGGGAAAAGGAAUUUAAACUAUAAGCUGAUGACAUUCAUAUCAUGGAUUUUUCGCGAGUGACAGCUGGGAGUGAGCCAGCAAGAUUUUUGGCAUAACUCGACCGAAUGAUCAGAAUUGGCAAAGAAACUGGCCUUCUUUCCCUUUUCGUUGGAACGAUUGACGAAGCUGAAGGAUCUAUCACUAGGUGGCUAAAAAGAUGUAAGUGUUUUCUUUUUAGAUUUCGCCAUAUUUUUGAGGCUUGAGUGGGCUUGUGAGACAGAGUGGAAAAGUUAUUAGCCUAUAAUGUCUACGUGGCAAUUCCAUCUGAUCAUGUGGCCUGAAACUGCUGUUCACUUUCCAAAAAUUGUCUUCUCUUGCUGCAUGUACCGGCUGUACGUUUCGUCACGUGCAGGAAUACUUAAAAACUUAAAAUAGGACCAACAGCCUGGUGAAGUCUGAGCUUCAUUGUUGCAGUCUGAUGUGCACAUUGAUUUGUUGCUGCCAGCUGUUGAUUGGUGUGGCGAGCCGUUGCAUGCAGACCGCUGGUGUGUUGAGCUGCUGCAAAUCAUGUAAGAAUGUCAAUGUUGAAUAUAUCCAACGUCAACUCGGCUACUUAUCUCCCUAUCUAUCUUGGGCUUAGAGACUAACCGAGAUGAUUUGCUGCGAUUGAAAAAAGUAUGAUGUAAAUGUAGGCAAGUACAUAAUCUGGGCCUCCUUCCCUUAACUAACCAACAUCCGUCGGAGAAUUGAACCUUGGUCAAAUGAAGAAAGGGAAAUAGAAAUAUGAAAAUAAUGAUAGAAAAAAAUGAUUUGAGUGUAGAAAACAUAAUUAAGUUGCAUUUAUAUUAUAUUAUUACCAAAUAUGUAAAUGCAAUAACUCCAGAAUAUCUAACUAAUUGUUCAAACAAUGUAACCAACAUCUUUAUGAUUGUUGUUUGUUACCAUAAAUUUAAGUCUAUAACAUACAUAAAAAAUCAAAUAUACAGAACGAACACAA